GCUAAACCUGCUGUAGCAAUCUUCAAGCAAUGUCUUUAUUGACAUUUAUCAUUGUGCCCAUACCUGUGAUGGGGUCACCAAGAACAGUGAGUUAAUUUGACCAUUACAUACAUGUCAAUAAAACUGCUGUAAAAUUAAGAAAUUAACAAAUCUACAUUAGGAGGCUACUACUAGCAUCAACACUACUGUCUCCAUUGUUAUGUAAUACCUGAUUUCUCCAUCAGGGGGUGGGGUCACACCAAAGUGCCAGCACCAUCCUGUGUCCUCAUCCAAAAGACAGCUGUGCAUCUAGUAGAGCUUGGGAAUGGGCUGAUCUACGAAGAUCCCUGCUGCUCGUUCUGCUCAGGGAGAGCUGCCAGAAGGGGCUGCUGUAGCAUUGUUCCAUAGAACCUCAAGAGGGUCAGAGGUCAAGAAUAUGACCAAACACAACAAUGGAGUAAUCAGAGCUGAGGCUCCGGGAGGCCAGCCAAGCCUCUCAUCGUCCUCAUCCGUACAGGGCUGCUCUGCUGUGUUCGCUCUCCUCUCAUCCACAGACGAGGUAAUUAACCAUCAUACUGCAGAUGGGAUCAAUUUUUACCCUCCCUCUGGUCUCUCGACUCCCUUUCUCUCCUGGUUCUCCGUUCCCGGUCUCUCUCACUCUUUCUCUAGCUUUGACACCCCCCCCCCUUUUUGCUCUCUUUUUCCAUCUCUCCUGCUUCUCCAACAACCUUCUACGCUCUCUCGCACACGCACGCACACACACGGACACACACACACACACAGACCCAUAAUUGCACUGGAACUGUGCCAGCCAGCCUCAGACUAACAGGGCCCUCGCCUUCCCCACUCCUCCCUCUGCUCUUACCCUCCCCUAUCUCUUUGCUCUUCUCCGCGCCCCCCAUUCCUCUCUCCUUCCUCCCCCCUCUCCUUCCUCCCCCCUCUCCUCCACCUCAGUCUCUUGUCUCAUCUGC
ensembl:lncRNA